rnacentral:rRNA from 1 species
UACGUAGGGCGCGAGCGUUGUCCGGAUUUAUUGGGCGUAAAGAGCUCGUAGGCGGCUUUGUCGCGUCGUCCGUGAAAACCCACAGCUCAACUGUGGGCUUGCGGUCGAUACGGGCAGGCUAGAGUUCGGUAGGGGAGACUGGAAUUCCUGGUGUAGCGGUGAAAUGCGCAGAUAUCAGGAGGAACACCGGUGGCGAAGGCGGGUCUCUGGGGCCGAUACUGACGCUGAGGAGCGAAAGCGUGGGGAGCGAACAGG